GAAUGAUUGGAUGUAAAGCGUCUGUAGGUGGCUUUUCAAGUCUGCUGUCAAAUCCCAGGGCUCAACCCUGGACAGGUGAUGGAAACUACCAAGCUGGAGUACGGGGAAUUUCUGAUGGAGCGGUGAAAUGUGUUGAGAUCGGAAAGAACACCAACGGUGAAAGAACUCUGCUGGGCCAACACUGACACUGAGAGACGAAAGUUCGGGAAGCAAAUGGGAUUAGAUACCCCAGUAGUCCUAGCCGUAAAUAUAUAUUCAAGAAAAACAUC
rnacentral:ncRNA from 1 species